UACGUAGGUGACAAGCGUUGUCCGGAAUUACUGGGCGUAAAGGGUCCGUAGGCGGUGUAGCAAGUCGAUAGUGAAAUCUCUGGGCUUAACCCAGAGGCUGCUAACGAAACUGCUGUGCUAGAGUGUGAGAGAGGCGAGUGGAAUUACGGGUGUAGCGGUGAAAUGCGUAGAUAUCCGUAGGAACAUCCGAGGCGAAGGCGGCUCGCUGGAUCACAACGUGACGCUGAGGGACGAAAGCUAGGGGAGCAAACAGG
rnacentral:rRNA from 1 species